rnacentral:rRNA from 1 species
GGAUGGCACCCUGAUCCAGCCAUGCCGCGUGUGUGAAGAAGGCCUUCGGGUUGUAAAGCACUUUCGGACGGAACGAAAUCGCGCGGGUGAAUAUCCCGCGUGGAUGACGGUACUGUAAGAAGAAGCACCGGCUAACUACGUGCCAGCAGCCGCGGUAAUACGUAGGGUGCGAGCGUUAAUCGGAAUUACUGGGCGUAAAGCGUGCGCAGGCGGCUUCGCAAGUCAGACGUGAAAUCCCCGGGCUUAACCUGGGAAUGGCGUUUGAAACUACGGAGCUGGAGUUUGGCAGAGGGA